ensembl:miRNA
CCAUGCUGUGUGCAGUGCCCUACCCGGUAGGUACUGAUCACUUAGCCUACGUGUAAUUAGUACCUGUCUGGGUAGAGUAAGGCCAACAAGA